CAUAGAAUAAGCGUUUAAAAUUAUUGUUAUAACUUACUUUUACAUCUUUUAAACUCUAUCGUUUAAUGGUAAUUUUAAACGGUUGUUAAAAGACAACGAUAAGUUAUAACGGUGAUAAUUUUCCUGUUUCAAUUAUACUUUUGAUUUAAAGUUAUCAGCGGUAAAAGUGAAAGUUACAACCUUUACUCGUUAAAGUUAUUACUGUACCGAAGGCAUUAACUUUCGUAAAUUGCCCCGAUAUAACGUUACAUAAGAGGAUAAAUUAUACCUCGAUACAGCGAUAUCUGCAGUGAAAAUUAAAGGAGUUCUAGGUUUAAAUUCGCCACCUGAUCCCAACUGCAUUCCCGUUUUGCGUUCUGGGGUGAAAGGGAGAGUGUAUAAAUCCCGGAAGUGACAUCGAUUAGUUUCUCCAUGGAUCGAUGAGGAUCGACUAGACGGGCCAACUGAACCGUGGUAGUCAGCGGUAGUCAGCUAGAGAAAACGCGAUAUUCUCUUUCUAAUCGAUUGUAUUUAAAGUCUGCUAGCCUUAAACCCUGUUUCCUCUUCAAACCGCCAAUUUAAGAUCGAUUCGAUGAAAAUUUGCUCCCCCCUUCUAUCAUUCUCUCUUCUUCCCCUCGACCAGAAGUCACUUUUGGAAGUCGAAACUUGAUUAAAAUACUCCACGCGUUGACAAAACACCAAAUUGUUAUGAGGUGUGGUAAUCUGAUUAGUAAAUUGUAUGAUAAAACUGUUCUUCGUACCUUUAGGAAAAGAUACAAAGAAAAAAAAAGAUGGGGAGAAAUCUCAGAAUAAAAAUUGAAAACGUGUUUGGCCUGCAGACUUUUUACUUGUUAACUGAUAAUUUCAUGGAUAAUAAGAGUUUUUCGUGAUAAUUUUUUUGAAUAUUUUUCAGCCUAACAUUCAUUAAAAAAAAAAUAUAUU